ensembl:lncRNA
UUUUUUUGGAUUUGCAUUGAUUUCAAUUUCAAUUCACAUUUGGGAAUUGUUUCAUGUUUCUAUCAGUACAGUAAUACUUUACAUUAAAGUACCAUCUCUAACGGGUUUAUAAUUAGUCUAUAAACAAGUUAGAAAGAAUAAAACGGAUUUGUAGAAAUUGUGCGUUGACUAAUUAUAUACCUAUAUCUAUAUCUUUUUUUUUUUUUUUUUCUUUUUCUUCAGAUGGUAUUUUUAUGUGAUCUGUUGCCCAGACGUCCCGUGCAGAAAAGGGCUGAUUUUUAAAAGGGGCUGGUAUGAGAAAUUAAUACAUGGGGAAAAUGACACAUAACAAUGUUAUAUUUGGACAUUUAUCUCAUACAAAUUGGCAUCACAGCUUUCCUACAACUCUGUGUUUUUGACUGAAUAAUCCUUUUCAGAAAUAUUCGCCAUGUCCCCAGUCAGUGGGAUUCUUUUAUAUAUUAUUUACAUUUUUUUAAUUUAUUUUCUUCCAUAGUUCCAGAGCACUGAGCUCUGUAUAUUUUCUUAAUCUCAACUAAGUAUUGAUCUUUGGUUUGAAAAAGACAAGCACUUAAGAUGCACACAUACAGUAAAUGCUUAAAUAAAGGAUGCAGUACUGAGUGUUAAGAAGAAGAAAAAAAAAUGAUGUCUGGAGGAUACAGUCAGUCAUGUAAAUAUAUCUACAGACGAAACAAGGCGUACACUUCCUGUUCAGCGUUUGUCUUGAAGCGGAACAGGUUAAUACGGUGCUGGAAUUAAACCAGUGACACAAAAGUAAUGUAGUCUGUGGAUCGUCCCACUGGACUCUCAAUCUGUAGUUAGUUAACCGUCACUUUGGGAUGGAGACGUAAUCUUGAUAAUAAAGCCAUACCAGCUGUCUCAAUUUGUUUGUGCACGUAUGGGGAGGUAUUCAUUAAAAAAAAAGAAUCAAAAGCAAUCUAAUCUAAUCUAAUCUAAAGCAUUGUUAAGAUUUUUCUUUCUUUCUCUACACUGUCAUUUCAGUAUGAUUACAUUAAUUCAAGUCUAAUUUAUUGUGUGCAAGGACAUUGCUGCUAUAUAUGUUUGUACAUAAGAUUUCUUUUCUCUGUCCAGAGCGUUAACGUCUUCCUCUCGUCUCUCGUCCCUACGUUUUGCCAUCGUGUAAAUAAAUCAGUAGUCGGACAAUCCGGGACCGUAAAACCGAAGAGCGAGGCGAUCGGACGAAUUGUUCUAGUCGGACCCGACGUCAGUGGAUUUUGUGUGUCGUCUCAGUGAGGUCCUGGUCCUGUGUGGAUAAAAAUGUUUUCCUCAAAACAAAACAUUAAACGGUAUUCGAUGAAACGUCAAAAUGUUCUUAUGGACUCCUCCCACUUUAUUCAGCAUUUCUGAGCUAGUUAAUGAGCUAGUUUCAAUAAAUCUUGUUUAUUUAAGUUGAUUGUAUUUUCUAUUAACAUGUCCUUGCAAACUAGUUUUGUGUAUGUACACUCCAAAAUGGUUAAUCCACCAUUGAGCGAUACGUUUUUGUCAUCUUAGCGUAUUUACUGUUAGGGAACGGUAUCGUUGAACAAGAUCACGUGCACGUCUCAGACUAAACCAAUUGUUUUAGCACAAACUGAAGUCCAGUUCGGGGGAAAACAGGAGACUAUAUGACUGAUCAUGAUAGUUGGGGGGAACCGUCAUGUGUAAUCUGCUAACAUUAUUUAAGAAUAAUUGAUCUUUAAAAAGAACCUCGAUGUUCCGGGUUCCCGCUUUCAUUUUUUAAUCAGAAAUCUGUGUUCAGUAAGAAUAAGUGCAGUGCGUGAGCCACUCUCAGGCUGUGUGUCCUCUUAAACCAGGUUUCAGACUGAACCUCCAGUUUGCUUAGUUCCUGAUUCUGUCCGUGUGGAUGUUGAUUGUUUGCCCUUUGUAAUUUUCCAAGAAACAAAAGAAUCCCUGCUGAAAACAAGAUGUCUAAUAUACAGUACUUCCUGUCUUUUUUCCUUUUUUUUUGUUUUGUUUUUAUCUAUCUAUAUAUAUAUAUAUAUAAUUUAUUUAUUUUUUAAACCACCAACUCAUUGUACCUUAAUAUAAUACACUUCUGUUACGAAGAUCUCUCACGCUCCAUCUCCCGUCCUCAGUAUCACAGUUAUCGGUGGGUUGCAGUAUUUUUCUCAUUGUAGCCACUUUUCUUGUACAGUUUUAUGCAAAUUUCACAUGGAUGUCUGUGAAUAUCUGCUGCCACAAAUGAUUUAGAAUUUCUGUAGAUAGAGAUUACUGUGCAAUGGAAAACUAAAUAAAAUUCAAUUUAAAAAAAU